CGACCAGGGGGGUACCCCCCCAUUAAUGGGUUUACAGCCCACCACCUACUCAGCCACCUGGCC
rnacentral:tRNA from 1 species